UCCGGUUUGUCACCGGCAGUCUCGCAUGAGUCCCCAGCUGAACUGCUGGCAACAUGCGACGGGGGUUGCGCUCGUUGCGGGACUUAACCCAACAUCUCACGACACGAGUUGACGACAGCCAUGCAGCACCUGUGUUCCCGCCAGCCGAACUGAAGGAUGCCGUCUCCGGCACCCAUACGGGACAUGUCAAAGGCUGGUAAGGUUCUGCGCGUUGCUUCGAAUUAAACCACAUGCUCCACCGCUUGUGCAGGCCCCCGUCAAUUUCUUUGAGUUUUAACCCUGCGGCCGUACUCCCCAGGCGGAUAACUUAAUGCGUUAGCUGCGCCACCAAAACUCUAAGAGCCCUGACAGCUAGUUAUCAUCGUUUACGGCGUGGACUAC
rnacentral:misc_RNA from 1 species